UGUUAAAAGUUUUGCAUAAAGAAUUAUUCAACGUUAAGUGAAUAUUUUGAUUUCAUGUAAAUGUGCAUGAAGACUUCAUGUACUGUAAUGUUUUCAUUAAAACCUGGUGUAGGUAGCGAUACCGAAUUUGAUUAACAGAAAAAACGAAUGAUAUUGAAAAAUUGAUACAUGGAAGUAAUUUCCAAUUACAUGUAUGUAUUAUAGUUCUUCUCGUGGUUAUAUUAUAUGGAGUCAAAUUCAAGAUUCCGGAAAUGAAAGUAAACGAUUCCGAAAUAGAUAGAGGUGAACUAGAAUUUGUUUACAUGUACAAUACAACACCUAUUAGCACGCAACUGUUCAAUGAAGGGUGGUUGGACGAUAAUACUUUUGUUGUACGUCACAUUAUGUCAUACAAUUGAUAAUUAUCCGUAUUUAUUACAUAUGAUAUAACUUGUCAAUCAAUGAUAAUUAAUAAGUAUUAAACAAAACUACAUGUACAACAAACUAUAGAAGGAUACACAUCGGAAUACACCAAAGUCUGGAAUGUCUGUGUUGAAAUAUUCUGUUGUUUGUGCAAUCAUAUUUGUUCUUGGAUUUGAGUUAACUAUGGCUGCGUUUAUUCCAGACAAGGAUUUUCUUCAAAUGCAAGAUCAUCAUAUGUCAAACUACAAGAAUAUAUUCGAACAAUAUACCAGACUUGCUGACGGACCAGACAACAAUGUAUUAAGAGUAUAUGUUCGUCCCAAUACUGAUUUCCCGAAUACUCAGAUAGUAUACAGGAACGAGCGGAACGGUAGACUGAACUCUGAAUCAUUUGGAGAUCAGAGGUUACCGAGAAAUAGAUGGCCUUCACAUGAUGAUACUGACAGUUUAAUAAAAAAUCAUGAUCAUAAUAUUAUCAAGAAAAAGAAAGGAACAGAGCGUAGAGAAAAUACAAUUCAAACAUUCGUUUCGGAAAUGGAAAAGAAUUUCAAGAAAAGUUCUAAGUCAAUUUUUUCCAGGGCUAAGGACUUAUUUUCUGAUCAAACUACUGAAAAACGUGUAUACGGAAUCAAAGAUUUUGUGUAUGACUUUUUAAAGAUUGUUUCAUAUUAAUCUGUUAUUUCAGAUGUAUAUGUAAUUUAUUUAUAGUUUUAAAUAAAAUUAUAAUACUUAAAA